GCUUCCAUGGAGAAAGGGACCUAGGUUAGUUUUUUUUAUUUCCUCUCAUUUCCACUCAAAUUCUCACCAAAAGCCAUGAUGCCAUACAUGAAUCUUUAAGGAAAAAGGCUAGUGAAUCCAUUCCACCACUCCAUUUGGGCUGAUUUGGCUUGUGGAGAGAGUUAUUCAUCAAACCCAAUUCGUGACACUAUUCAUGCUUGUAGAAAAGUGGGGCUUUUGAGUGAGCAAAGCUUGGGGUUUGUUCUUUGGAGCUUGGAAUAGCUACUAUAGUACCCAGAUGUCUGCUUUGGGGUCCUCCCUCGGGACCGAUGGUGUACGCCUCUGAUAUGUCUGGUUCCGCUUUGGGGUCCUCCCUCGGGAACACGUGUGUUGAUUUCCGCUUGGGGUCCUCCCUUGGGAAUGACGGUGCCCAGAUUCCCGGUGAGUCCUCACUAGGCAGGGACGCGACACGUGGCUGAGGCAGUUGACAGAUUGGAUUUUGAGUGGCCGUAGGCUACUACUUUUUGGAAGUAUAUUUAUGUCAUUUUGUAUUUCCGCCUUUGAUGGAUCAUGACAUUGAUCCUUUAUUUUGUAUAUG